GGCAGCAGAAAGCACAAACCUGCAUUCCAGAGCUUUGCACCCAGGCUGACGCCUAACACAGGCCUCCCAAGCGGCAGGCGGAAGGCCUCGGGUGCAGGUAGCCUGCAGGAAGAGUGCACUCUUAGCUAGCAUGGCAACGCUUCCUCCCUGAGUGUGCCCUGCAUCUUCUCAACCCCCUGCGGAGACCUCGAUAAUCUGAAGCAUGCCCUCCAGCUGGGGCUUUGCCUGCAGGCGAGGCCCCUUACUUGCUGUGGUCCAUUUGGAAGUUCGGCAGGCUAAGAAAGGAAGGACAUUCUGACGGGUGCCACAAGAUGGAUGAACCUUAAGGACAUUGUGCUAACCGAAACAAGCCAGUCACGAAAAGACAAGUACUGAUUGCAGCAGGAGAGGACUACAGAUAGCAUGGGAUUGGAGGAGGAACUCUGGCCCUGGAGACAGCAUCGUCGAGCAGUAGCUUCAUCUUUGUGAGCUGGGGCCUCGGCAGAAGCUUCCUCUUCUCUACAGGCUGAGCCUGUCUCGACCCGCCCCCCUACCUGCACCCUAGUCCUUUGGGGUCACCUCAAGGCUUUGGCUGAUGCUUCUUUGCUGAUGUCAACCAAGGUGAUAAACCUGUUUGUCCUCAUAAAGAAACUCUUGAACGGGCAUGCACUUCUU